GACAGAGGAUGCAAGCGUUAUCCGGAAUGAUUGGGCGUAAAGCGUCUGUAGGUGGCUUUUUAAGUCCGCCGUCAAAUCCCAGGGCUCAACCCUGGACAGGCGGUGGAAACUACCAAGCUGGAGUACGGUAGGGGCAGAGGGAAUUUCCGGUGGAGCGGUGAAGUGCAUAGAUAUCGGGAAGAACACCAACGGCGAAAGCACUCCGCUGGGCUGAUACUGACACUGACAGACGAAAGCUAGGGUAGCGAAAGGG
rnacentral:rRNA from 1 species